UGGGGAAUAUUGCACAAUGGGCGAAAGCCUGAUGCAGCAACGCCGCGUGGGUGAUGAAGGUUUUCGGAUUGUAAAGCCCUGUCUUUUGGGACGAUAAUGACGGUACCAAAGGAGGAAGCCACGGCUAACUACGUGCCAGCAGCCGCGGUAAUACGUAGGUGGCGAGCGUUGUCCGGAUUUACUGGGCGUAAAGGGUGCGUAGGCGGAUAUUUAAGUGGGAUGUGAAAACCCCGGGCUUAACCUGGGGACUGCAUUUCAAGCUGGAUAUCUGGAGUGCAGGAGAGGAAAGCGGAAUUCCUAGUGUAGCGGUGAAAUGCGUAGAGAUUAGGAAGAACACCAGUGGCGAAGGCGGCUUUCUGGACUGUAACUGACGCUGAGGCACGAAAGCGUGGGUAGCAAACAGGAUUAGAUACCCUGGUAGUCCACGCCGUAAACGAUGAGUACUAGGUGUAGGAGGUAUCGACCCCUUCUGUGCCGCAGUAAACGCAAUAAGUACUCCGCCUGGGAAGUACGAUCGCAAGAUUAAAACUCUAAAGUGAAUUGAC
rnacentral:rRNA from 1 species